rnacentral:sRNA from 1 species
CGUGCUCGGCCAACUGGGCGCUGUUGAAGUGGACGUGGAUGUCGAGUGCGCCCGCGGUGGCGAUACGACCCUCCGCGGGGUAGACGUCGGUGCUCGCGCCGACGACGAGGUUCGGGUCGACACCUUCCAUCGUGUUCGGGUUCCCGGCCUUGCCGAUACCCGCUAUCUCGCCGUCUUUGAUGCCGAUGUCGCCCUUGACGAUGCCGUGAAUCGGGUCGAUGACCGUCGCGUUCGUCAGUACCCAGUCGAGUGCGCCCUCUUUGGACGUCGUGCCGGGUGCCAUCCCGAGG